rnacentral:rRNA from 1 species
UACGUAGGGGGCAAGCGUUAUCCGGAUUCACUGGGUGUAAAGGGAGCGUAGACGGCCAUCCAAGCCUGGAGUGAAAGCCCGGGGCCCAACCCCGGGACUGCUCUGGGAACUGUGCGGCUGGAGUGCGGGAGGGGCAGGCGGAAUUCCUGGUGUAGCGGUGAAAUGCGUAGAUAUCAGGAGGAACACCGGCGGCGAAGGCGGCCUGCUGGACCGCGACUGACGUUGAGGCUCGAAAGCGUGGGGAGCAAACAGG